UACACUCCUGCGGGAGGCAGCAGUGGGGAAUUUUGGACAAUGGGCGAAAGCCUGAUCCAGCAAUGCCGCGUGAGUGAAGAAGGCCUUCGGGUUGUAAAGCUCUUUUGUCAGGGAAGAAACGGUGAGAGCUAAUAUCUUUUGCUAAUGACGGUACCUGAAGAAUAAGCACCGGCUAACUACGUGCCAGCAGCCGCGGUAAUACGUAGGGUGCAAGCGUUAAUCGGAAUUACUGGGCGUAAAGCGUGCGCAGGCGGUUUUGUAAGUCUGAUGUGAAAUCCCCGGGCUCAACCUGGGAAUUGCAUUGGAGACUGCAAGGCUAGAAUCUGGCAGAGGGGGGUAGAAUUCCACGUGUAGCAGUGAAAUGCGUAGAUAUGUGGAGGAACACCGAUGGCGAAGGCAGCCCCCUGGGUCAAGAUUGACGCUCAUGCACGAAAGCGUGGGGAGCAAACAGGAUUAGAAACCCCGGUAGUCCCAUGAU
rnacentral:rRNA from 1 species